rnacentral:rRNA from 1 species
UACGAACGCUGGCGGCGUGCUUAACACAUGCAAGUCGAACGAAGAGCGAUGGAAGCUUGCUUCUAUCAAUCUUAGUGGCGAACGGGUGAGUAACGCGUAAUCAACCUGCCCUUCAGAGGGGGACAACAGUUGGAAACGACUGCUAAUACCGCAUACGAUCUAAUCUCGGCAUCGAGGAUAGAUGAAAGGUGGCCUCUACAUGUAAGCUAUCACUGAAGGAGGGGAUUGCGUCUGAUUAGCUAGUUGGAGGGGUAACGGCCCACCAAGGCGAUGAUCAGUAGCCGGUCUGAGGGGAGGGGCGGCCACAAUGGGACCGAGACACGGCCCAGACUCCUACAGGAGGGAGCAGGGGGGAAACUUCCGCAAUGGACGAAAGUCUGACGGAGCAACGCCGCGUGAGUGAUGACGGCCUUCGGGUUGUAAAGCUCUGUUAAUCGGGGCGAAAGGCCUUCUUGCGAAUAGUGAGAAGGAUUGACGGUACCGGAAUAGAAAGCCACGGCUAACUACGUG